AGCAUAAUCUGGAAAGUCCACGUUUUUUGC
rnacentral:piRNA from 1 species